rnacentral:rRNA from 1 species
UACGGAGGGAGCUAGCGUUGUUCGGAAUUACUGGGCGUAAAGCGCACGUAGGCGGCGAUUCAAGUCAGAGGUGAAAGCCCGGGGCUCAACCCCGGAACUGCCUUUGAAACUAGAUUGCUAGAAUCUUGGAGAGGUCAGUGGAAUUCCGAGUGUAGAGGUGAAAUUCGUAGAUAUUCGGAAGAACACUAGUGGCGAAGGCGACUGACUGGACAAGUAUUGACGCUGAGGUGCGAAAGCGUGGGGAGCAAACAGG